AUUGAACGCUGGCGGCAGGCCUAACACAUGCAAGUCGAGCGGAGCGGCGGACGGGUGAGUAAUGCCUAGGAAUCUGCCUGGUAGUGGGGGAUAACGACCGGAAACGGGCGCUAAUACCGCAUACUAUCAGAUAAUCCUAGGUCGGAUUAGCUAGGUGGUGGGGUAAAGGCCUACCAAGGCGACGAUCCGUAACUGGUCUGAGAGGAUGAUCAGGCAAACUGGAACUGAGACACGGGCCAGAAUCCUACGGGAGGCAGCAGUGGGGAAUAUUUGACAAUGGGCGAAAGCUGGAUCCAGCCAUGCCGCGUGUAUGAAGAAGGUCUUCGGAUUGUAAAUCACUUUAAGUUGGGAGGCGUUACCCACAGAAUAAGCACCGGCUAACUUCGUGCCAGACGCCGCGGUAAUUC
rnacentral:rRNA from 1 species